rnacentral:misc_RNA from 1 species
CAGAGUUGCAAAACUCCCACAAACCAUCGCGAAUUCUUACCCGUACGGUUGCCUCGGCGCUGGCGGUCCGGAAGGCCCUUCGGGCCCCCCCGGAUCUCCUCGGGUCUUCCCCGCUCCGCGGGAGGCUGCCCGCCGGAGUGCCGAAACCAAAACUCUUGAUUAUUUUAUUGUCCUCGUCUGAGUAGAUAACUUUUAAAUAAGUUCA